CAGUAGCCGCGGUAAUACGUAGGGUGCAAGCGUUAAUCGGAAUUACUGGGCGUAAAGCGUGCGCAGGCGGUGUUGUAAGACUGAUGUGAAAUCCCCGGGCUCAACCUGGGAACUGCAUUGGUGACUGCAACGCUGGAGUGCGGCAGAGGGGGAUGGAAUUCCGCGUGUAGCAGUGAAAUGCGUAGAUAUGCGGAGGAACACCGAUGGCGAAGGCAAUCCCCUGGGCCUGCACUGACGCUCAUGCACGAAAGCGUGGGGAGCAAACAGGAUUAGAUACCCCCGUAGUCCCUGUCUCUUAUAA
rnacentral:rRNA from 1 species